GCCCAUGUGGCUCAGUGGUAGAGCACUCCCUUGGUAAGGAGAGGUCGCGCGUUCGAUCCGCGCCAUGGGCACCA
rnacentral:tRNA from 1 species